CCUACGGGUGGCAGCAGUGGGGAAUAUUGCACAAUGGGGGAAACCCUGAUGCAGCGACGCCGCGUGAGUGAAGAAGUAUUUCGGUAUGUAAAGCUCUGUCAGCAGGGAAGAAAAUGACGGUACCUGACCAAGAAGCCCCGGCUAACUACGUGCCAGCAGCCGCGGUAAUACGUAGGGGGCAAGCGUUAUCCGGAUUUACUGGGUGUAAAGGGAGCGUAGACGGCAGGGCAAGUCUGGAGUGAAAGGCGGGGGCUCAACCCCCGGACGGCUCUGGAAACUGCCAGGCUGGAGUGCAGGAGAGGUAAGUGGAAUUCCUAGUGUAGCGGUGAAAGGCUUAGAUAUGAGGAGGAACAGCGGGGGCGUAGGCGCUUUACGGGGCCGUAAUUGACGCUGAGGAACGAAAGCCAGGGUAGCAAAUGGGAUUAGAGACCCCAGUAGUC
rnacentral:rRNA from 1 species